CGGAAAUGUCCCCGAAUUGGACCGAGGUUUUGGCUAGCCCCCCAUUGUCAGACGUCCCUAGCGCGUUCCCGAAGUCGGAAUCGGCAAAGGUGAGCCAGGACAGCCUUCUUCCUCCGCCCAGCCGCCACAGUAAUUUGUCGUCAAGUUUGCCACAGGAGGAUAUUUUGUUCUGGGUUAACCUGCCUUUUUACCUCGCAGGUUGUUUAUCAAUAUUGUGUAAUUUUAAUUACUCCUAGAAUUUCCGCAUGUGUUAGCAGUAAUUAUUUGAAAUUGGUCUGUAAUAUUAUAUUCAUGUUGGACCUGUAAACUUAAUAUUUUAAGUCUGUUUGAUGGAUUGGAUGAGGGAGCUGAGCUCCCAUUUAUUAUUA